CUUUUAUCGGGAGCGAAAUACUAUCGGUUAAUAACCGGUGGGGCUGACGGUACCCGAGGAAUAAGCACCGGCUAACUUCGUGCCAGCAGCCGCGGUAAUACGAAGGGUGCAAGCGUUAAUCGGAAUUACUGGGCGUAAAGGGUGCGUAGGCGGUUUGUUAAGUCUGUCGUGAAAUCCCCGGGCUCAACCUGGGAAUGGCGAUGGAUACUGGCAAGCUAGAGUGUGUCAGAGGAUGGUGGAAUUUCCGGUGUAGCGGUGAAAUGCGUAGAGAUCGGAAGGAACAUCAGUGGCGAAGGCGGCCAUCUGGGACAACACUGACGCUGAAGCACGAAAGCGUGGGGAGCAAACAGGAUUAGAUACCCUGGUAGUCCACGCCCUAAACGAUGCGAACUGGAUGUUGGUCUCAACUCGGAGAUCAGUGUCGAAGCUAACGCGUUAAGUUCGCCGCCUGGGGAGUACGGUCGCAAGACUGAAACUCAAAGGAAUUGACGGGGGCCCGCACAAGCGGUGGAGUAUGUGGUUUAAUUCGAUGCAACGCGAAGAACCUUACCUGGCCUUGACAUGUCUGGAAUCCUGCAGAGAUGCGGGAGUGCCUUCGGGAAUCAGAACACAGGUGCUGCAUGGCUGUCGUCAGCUCGUGUCGUGAGAUGUUGGGUUAAGUCCCGCAACGAGCGCAACCCUUGUCCUUAGUUGCCAGCACGUAAUGGUGGGAACUCUAAGGAGACUGCCGGUGACAAACCGGAGGAAGGUGGGGAUGACGUCAAGUCCUCAUGGCCCUUACGGCCAGGGCUACACACGUACUACAAUGGUCGGUACAGAGGGUUGCAAUACCGCGAGGUGGAGCCAAUCCCAGAAAGCCGAUCCCAGUCCGGAUCGGAGUCUGCAACUCGACUCCGUGAAGUCGGAAUCGCUAGUAAUCGCGGAUCAGCUAUGCCGCGGUGAAUACGUUCCCGGGCCUUGUACACACCGCCCGUCACACCAUGGGAGUGAGUUGCUCCAGAAGCCGUUAGUCUAACCGCAAG
rnacentral:rRNA from 1 species